AAUAAACCGGCAAGCUUGCUUCACCAUUCACCACUACUACUAAACAAGUUAUCGGUCAACACACCCUUCCCAAAAUGGCACUGUCAAAAAAAAGAAAAGUGGACACGGAGUGCAGGGUUUUCCAGGAAAAAUGGACUGAGAAUUAUUUAUUCACAGAAGUGACUCUGUGCAUUUCUUUU